rnacentral:rRNA from 1 species
GACGAACGCUGGCGGCGUGCUUAACACAUGCAAGUCGAACGGGAUUUAGUAAACGGAAGCUUCGGUGGAAGAUUACUAAUGAGAGUGGCGAACGGGUGAGUAACGCGUGAGCAACCUGCCUAUGACAGUGGGAUAGCCUCGGGAAACCGGGAUUAAUACCGCAUAAAAUCGUAGAAACACAUGUUUUAACGGUCAAAGAUUUAUCGGUCAUAGAUGGGCUCGCGUCUGAUUAGCUAGUUGGUGAGAUAACAGCCCACCAAGGCGACGAUCAGUAGCCGGUCUGAGAGGAUGAACGGCCACAUUGGAACUGAGACACGGUCCAAACUCCUACGGGAGGCAGCAGUGGGGAAUAUUGCACAAUGGGGGAAACCCUGAUGCAGCGACGCCGCGUGAACGAAGAAGGUAUUCGUAUCGUAAAGUUCUGUCCUAUGGGAAGAUAAUGACAGUACCAUAGAAGAAAGCUCCGGCUAAAUACGUGCCAGCAGCCGCGGUAAUACGUAUGGAGCGAGCGUUGUCCGGAAUUAUUGGGCGUAAAGGGUACGCAGGCGGUUUAAUAAGUCGAAUGUUAAAGAUCGGGGCUCAACCCCGUAAAGCAUUGGAAACUGAUAAACUUGAGUAGUGGAGAGGAAAGUGGAAUUCCUAGUGUAGUGGUGAAAUACGUAGAUAUUAGGAGGAAUAGCAGUAAUCGAAAGAGACUUUCUGGACACAAACUGGACACUGAGGUACAAAAGCAUGGGGGGGCAAGCAGGAAUAAAUACCCUGGAAGACAAUGAGGAAUUCCACAGUGGAAUUCAAUCGUAUCGAGACGUCCACCUCGAGGGAGGGCGCGGGACCAAAUUUGGUUCUAUGUAGAGAGGGGGGUCCAGCACUUCUCUACCCGUAUACACUGCUGUUUACAAGGGGAGGGCGGUGGGGGGGGGGCUGUUCUAUGGGAAAU